GAUGGCAGAUUACAAAUGGUUUCUAAUUAAAAAAAUCAUUCGAUUUGUGAUCCUUUUUUGUCAGAUACGUUGUUUAAAUCAAUUCUGUUGAUGGAGCAAUGUGAUAUCAUAACGGAGAUUCAUUUUAAUUACCGUUAAUGAAUGUUCCGGUCAUUAAAAUAUAUUUUCUAUACCAGUGUAUAUUCAAAACGGCUGAAUAUGCGAAGUGACAAUCAUAAAGAAGAGUUUUAUUGAUCGUAAAGGUAUAUUGGUUAUAUUUUAUGCAGUUUGGACCGAGGAAGUUGAAAUGGAACUCGUCUUUCCAGCGAUCGUUUCGUGCCAACACGCUUAGGAACCAUCGUAUUACAAUAGCACACAUGUAGUUGACAAACAUGGGAGCGGCAUAUUGGGUCGAUGGCAAAAAGA